AGAGUUUGAUCAUGGCUCAGAUUGAACGCUGGCGGCAUGCCUUACACAUGCAAGUCGAACGGCAGCACGGGAGCAAUCCUGGUGGCGAGUGGCGAACGGGUGAGUAAUAUAUCGGAACGUGCCCAGUCGUGGGGGAUAACGCAGCGAAAGCUGUGCUAAUACCGCAUACGAUCUCUGGAUGAAAGCGGGGGACUCGCAAGGGCCUCGCGCGAUUGGAGCGGCCGAUAUCAGAUUAGCUAGUUGGUGGGGUAAAAGCUUACCAAGGCGACGAUCUGUAGCUGGUCUGAGAGGACGACCAGCCACACUGGAACUGAGACACGGUCCAGACUCCUACGGGAGGCAGCAGUGGGGAAUUUUGGACAAUGGGCGCAAGCCUGAUCCAGCAAUGCCGCGUGCAGGAUGAAGGCCUUCGGGUUGUAAACUGCUUUUGUACGGAACGAAAAGGUUGUCUUUAAUACAGAUGGCUCAUGACGGUACCGUAAGAAUAAGCACCGGCUAACUACGUGCCAGCAGCCGCGGUAAUACGUAGGGUGCGAGCGUUAAUCGGAAUUACUGGGCGUAAAGCGUGCGCAGGCGGUGAUGUAAGACAGAUGUGAAAUCCCCGGGCUCAACCUGGGACCUGCAUUUGUGACUGCAUCGCUAGAGUGCGGCAGNNNGGGAUGGAAUUCCGCGUGUAGCAGUGAAAUGCGUAGAU
rnacentral:rRNA from 1 species